AUUGAACGCUGGCGGCAGGCCUAACACAUGCAAGUCGAACGGUAACAGGAAGAAGCUUGCUUCUUUGCUGACGAGUGGCGGACGGGUGAGUAAUGUCUGGGAAACUGCCUGAUGGAGGGGGAUAACUACUGGAAACGGUAGCUAAUACCGCAUAACGUCUCAAGCCCAAAGAGGGGGACCUUCGGGCCUCUUGCCAUCGGAUGUGCCCAGAUGGGAUUAGCUAGUAGGUGGGGUAACGGCUCACCUAGGCGACGAUCCCUAGCUGGUCUGAGAGGAUGACCAGCCACACUGGAACUGAGACACGGUCCAGACUCCUACGGGAGGCAGCAGUGGGGAAUAUUGCACAAUGGGCGCAAGCCUGAUGCAGCCAUGCCGCGUGUAUGAAGAAGGCCUUCGGGUUGUAAAGUACUUUCAGCGGGGAGGAAGGGAGUAAAGUUAAUACCUUUGCUCAUUGACGUUACCCGCAGAAGAAGCACCGGCUAACUCCGUG
rnacentral:rRNA from 1 species